UACGUAGGCAGCAAGCGUUGUUCGGAGUUACUGGGCGUAAAGGGUGCGUAGGCGGUCCUAUAAGUAUGGUGUGAAAUCUCCCGGCUUAACUGGGAGGGUGCGCUAUAGACUGUGGGACUAGAGUGUGGGAGAGGAAAGUGGAAUUCCUGGUGUAGCGGUGAAAUGCGUAGAUAUCAGGAGGAACACCGGUGGUGUAAACGGCUUUCUGGACCAUAACUGACGCUGAGGCACGAAAAGCGUGGGGUAGCAAAACAGGG
rnacentral:rRNA from 1 species